CGAUUCUCUUCGGAGAAGAGCGGCGGACGGGUGAGUAACGCGUGGGUAACCUGCCCUGUACACACGGAUAACAUACCGAAAGGUAUGCUAAUACAAGAUGACAUAAGAGAUUCGCAUGGAUUUCUUAUCAAAGCUUUUGCGGUAUGAGAUGGACCCGCGUCUGAUUAGCUAGUUGGUAAGGUAAUGGCUUACCAAGGCGACGAUCAGUAGCCGACCUGAGAGGGUGAUCGGCCACAUUGGAACUGAGACACGGUCCAAACUCC
rnacentral:rRNA from 1 species